CGGAGGAUCCAAGCGUUAUCCGGAAUCAUUGGGUUUAAAGGGUCCGUAGGCGGGUUUAUAAGUCAGUGGUGAAAGCCCAUCGCUCAACGAUGGAACGGCCAUUGAUACUGUAGAUCUUGAAUUAUUAGGAAGUAACUAGAAUAUGUAGUGUAGCGGUGAAAUGCUUAGAGAUUACAUGGAAUACCAAUUGCGAAGGCAGGUUACUACUAAUGGAUUGACGCUGAUGGACGAAAGCGUGGGUAGCGAACGGGAUUAGAUACCCUGGUAGUCCACGCCGUAAACGAUGGAUACUAGCUGUUCGGAGCAAUCUGAGUGGCUAAGCGAAAGUGAUAAGUAUCCCACCUGGGGGAGUACGUUCGCAAGAAUG
rnacentral:rRNA from 1 species